GUCCCUGCAGAGCAAUGGAUAGCACGUUGGACUUCUAAUCCAAAGGACGUGGGCUUAAAUCCUACCAGGAAUG